rnacentral:lncRNA from 1 species
CAGGUUUUCCUCUCGCGCGGGGAGGGGCGCUGAGGGCAGGUGGGGAGCAACGGGGGCGCUGAGGGAGAGUCUUGAAACAAAACACUAUGCGGCGCUUCAGAAUAAAUUGUGUGCGAGAGACUUAUUUUCCCCUCACGCUUCUUAUUGCAUGUGCCGGGAUGGCGUGGUGUUGAAUAUGCCUGAAGGUGUGAAUGACCAAGAGGGCGUCUGUCCCUGAGGAGAAGCCGCUGCUCCCCACAGCAACUGCCGCUCGGGGACGCUGGGUCAUCGCGUCGCCCUUCGCGGCGUUUUUACUUGUUUCGGUUAUUAAACCAAAUUUAGAUACCGCUGGCUGCUGGAACAAAAGGCUUCGAACAGUCAAAAAAAUGCUAAUCGAAGGGUCGGUAAAAGCAAACGAAUUCAAUUAAAAUAUUAAAGCAUAAGUGCUAAAACUAGGCCUCAGAGUUAAAGUUACCAUUAUUUGGUAGGCUCGCUGGUACAAAAAUCCCUGUACACGAGAAGCUGGAAUAAAACAGGAUGGCGCAAUGUACACACCUGAUCCUAACUCCUGAAGGAGGGGCUGCUGGUGGCUGAACCUUUAAAAUAGCCUUUGACUUGAACACCAUCCUUUUCGGCAGAUCUAAGGCAGGGCCUGCCCACCCAUGAGGCAAGGUGAGGCAACCGCCUUGGGCAGCAAGAUCCACAGGGACAGCAGAUCCUGAUGUAGGAUCAGAAGCUCACCCCUUCUUCCCUUGAAAGGAGGGGAUGCCAUUUUGUGGUUUGUCUCAGGUGCAAAAAAUGUGUUUGUCCGGCCCUGAAAAGCUGCUUUCAGCAAGAUCUUGUAGAACUUCUGCGAGAUCUCGUCGCUGCUGUGGCUUCUCAAGUCUCUCAUGGUGUGGGACACUGUCCCCUGCUGCCAGAGCCAGGGAGAUGUGGCUUCCAGGUUCCUGCAAGAUCGCACUGACCUCUGGCAGGAUCUCACCAAGAACCCACAAGCUGCAGCCAUGUGACCCCAGUAGGUGGGGGGGGGCACCUUCACAUUUCGCCUCGGGAGGCAAAAUGGAAUGGGCUGCCACUGACACCAUAGUACCCAGCUCACAUGAACUUCCCACUCUCUGUUCCCAGUGCCACUGAACAUCCAGAACACCUUCAUGCAGUGCUUAUGGCAGCUUAAAAUCAGCCAAGGCUUGACUCAUCUGAGAUGGGGAAAAUAUGUCAGUGUAUCUCUGGCUGAGCCACAGUUAAGGAAUUACACCAGCAGAGCCUGGCUACCCCAGAACCUCCCAGCUCAGUCAGAGAUCCACUAGAUCCUAAACCCUAUGUGUCGUAAAUCAUCUUGGAUUUUUAAAGAAAGGGUGGUAAAGAAAAAGUUACAAAUAAAUUAAUAUUCAUAGAGAUGACAGGGUAGUUCUGUUAUCCUAGCCAUCAGGUUUUUGAACAAAAAUCUUGAUUUGUCUGUAGAGGUUCUCUACAGCAAUAGAAUAUCUGUCCCAUGUAAAAGCUUAUUCCUAACCAUUGCAGUUUAUUGUAGGAAUGUUCACAUUCUAGAGAUGUAUUGUUGCUGGGCAGGAAGGAAUACAAUGCGAUAAGAAUUGCAGGUUUUUAACUGAAGCAACAGUUGUAACGGGAAGUGGUUACAAGAGCUUACUCAAGUAACUGAUUAAAACCCAACAACCUUCUUGAAAUAUCUGUCUAGGUUAGACAGUGGAAAUUUACGUUAAAAAGUACUUGCUCUUGGUAAUUCCCCAGAGAAUAGCAAACAAUAUAUUGAUAUUUAUUGUUCUCGACUUUGGAGAAACCAUAAAAUAUUCCACAACUAUUAAAAAUGCACAACUGUGGUGCCUGACAGGUAGCAUGUAUAUAAAUAAAGUGUAGUUUGCAGCUUCUGUCUCUUGGUCUUGCUUGACCACUGUAUAUAAUGCUUGCCUUGCUGUUAAAGACGUUAAGGACGGGGCUGUGGUAUCUCCUUUAGGGUUAUAGCUUUGUGGUAGAGUACCUGCUUUGUAUGCAGAAGGUCCCAUGUUCAGCCCCCAGCAUCUCCAGGUAGGGUUGGGAAUGCCCCUAGUCUGAAACGCUGGAGAGCUGCUGCCAGUUAGUGUAAACAAGCCAAGCUAGAUGGACCAAUAGCCUAUCUCAGAAUAAGGCAGUUUCCAGUGUUCCUAAGUAAGCCACUUGAUGCCCAUUCCCUUACUGCAAACUUAAUACUUAUGACGAAUGGAACAUGGUUCUUAGCUUUCCUGUAUUCUUACUUUUCAUGUAGACCUGACGGGCAGAAAAUAAUUGCAUGUCCUUGCACACAACUCCCAAGAUUUCUAAAUGCAAUUCCUCAUGAAAUGAAAACAUUUGAAAAGAAGAAUGGAAGAUGGGCCUGUUUACACAGGCAUUCCUUUGAUCUAUUGACCUAAGUCACCUGUUUUAAUUGAUGUAUUGUUUCAACUGGAUUGUUUUCUUGCAUAUGUUAAAUAUGGAUGUGUUAUGUACUGAGUUGAAUAGGAUCCAAACUGCAGCAGUCUGAUUGGUCCUAGAACAAUAGGAUCCAAAAGGCAGCAGUCUGAUUGGUCCUAGAACAAUAGGAUUCAGAGCACUUGGCAAGUCUGAUUGGUCCUAGAACAAUGCAGCAGCUAUGAUUCAGUUGUAGUCACCAAUCCUGCUCAGAUAAAGUGAAUCCACAACCUGAUUGGCUUACAGUAGAAUUCAGAAUUAGCCAAUCAUGUACACCCAUUGUGUAAAUAUUAUAUAAAGCAGAUACUGUGAGGGACAUUCAUUCAUUCCUCCUCACCACUAUGAGCUGAAUAAAGGCAUGAAGCGCCCUGACUCUGGUGCUGCUGGCCGACGAAAGUAGGAUCACUGGAGCUGACUGCCACACACAGCACCGCAGCACACCGCCAACUGCCGCACCGCUGCCUCGCGUGUAUCCAGGCUUCAGCUCAGGACUGGGAGCAGAAUGGCAGCCAACAGCAGCUUCGCCACAGCCAGCAUCAGGACUGAGCGUCUGCCUCCCGUUUCACCUUCCUCCUAGAAGCCCAAAGGGGUCACGUGAAAGACGCCAGAAGAGGCGAUAUUCUUCAGCGUCUGCGGAGGCGGUUUAAAUACGCGGGCUCUCAUUGCUGAAGCGUGGCACUGUUCCAUACAAAACAAUAAUGGAACAGCUGAAGGGAGCACUUUUCGCCGCAGCCCUCAGUGGUGGCUCGUGAAAUGCCUUCUACGCUCAAGCGGCAAGCCCCUGGGAAACCAUAGCUGGGUUUUGUGACCUCUCAGCCGCCCGGUUCUGCAACUUCUCAGAGCUGGAACAUCUUCGCUCUGACCGCCUCGUCGGUGGCCUGAAGGAUGGCUACAGCGACCUCUCGCUUCAAGAAGGACCCUUACGUUCCAGGUCGCUCUGGGCCCUGGCAACCCAGAAGCUGCCAGAAGAGCUCGACCCAAGAGCACGGCCCGAGCCUGCCAUCCCAACCGAGGUCACCACGAAGACCUCACCAACGACAGGAUCCGACAGAGAGGUGCACCGGGUGCAGCAGCGCACUCAGCGCACAGACCACAGCUGCCUCGCGGGGAGGGGAACUCGCGCAAGCUGCGGGAGAGUCACGAGAGGAGGACCUGCCGUUUCCGCCUUAGCGCAGAGUGCAGGCAGUGCAGAAAUUCGGGACACAUCGCCCGGGUGUGGCGGGCUCGGCGCACCCGACGCCCGGCAUCAGAUGACCAAUCGAAGAGCCCCAGGUCCCGGGGCCCAGCAGAGCAACUCGUGAAUACGGACUUCCAGGUAUACCAGUUGCCCCACCCCAGCAUGCAGAAAAUUUGUAGAGAAUUUGGAAUGGGAGGCCUUGCCGCAUGGAGCUUGACACGGGUUCAACUCUAUCCAUAAUCUCGGCAAAGGACCUUGGAAACUGUGGGGUCCCAAACUCAGGUGACCCCAUUCACCCUGGGACUUCCAGGAAACAUGGAGUCCCCACAAUGGGGGUGGGGACCUUCAGAUGUACCGAGCGGACGCGGCAAGCUGGACCCCAGCCACACAUGGUCAAGAGGCCCCUACAUUAGCUUACUGGGAUUGGCAUGGUUUGGACACUAGGGCUAGCUGUCACCGGGGUGAACCACACUGGCUUACAAGUGGGCGUGGACGCCAUAUGCAGGAAUUUCCAGGGGUUUCGAUGCAGGAAGUGGGACAGUAUGGUUUCCCCAUUGCGCUACAGCUUGACCCCCUUGAUACGACCGGUCAGGCUCAAGGCCCGCGGGUCCCGUUCGCCUUGAAACCCCGUAUAGGCGAGGGUGGACUGACCUCGUGAGCAAGGGAGUGCAUGGAGCCGGUGCCUGGCGCCCCCUGAAACCCCAGCCAGUCACACCCGUCAAGCCUAAUGGUUCGGUCCGCAUCUGCAUGAACUACAAAUGGCCACCACGCUCAAGGCCUCCACGGCCCAUACAUGCCAAUUGCCAGUGGUCAGCCAUGUCCUUGCCACCCUGGCUGGAGUGAAAGUACAGCAGGCGGACUUGGCCAAACAUAUCAACAGCUGCAAGUGAUGAGGCCACAGCAGAGGCACAGGCGAUUGUGGCGCACAGAGGAGCGUUCAGGGUAGCGGCUGUUGGUGUCAGCGUGGCACCAGGCAUAUUCAGAAUCUAAUGGACUCUCUCGUAAAGUUCCUGGCGUCACCUUCUUCGAUGAUGUGUUGAUUGCGGGCCCACACCAGAAGAAGGGACCGCCUCCGCCGUUCUGCGUUUCCAGGCGGCGGGUCUCAGGUGGCGGAAAAUGUCUGCUAGUGCCUCAGUUGGGACUUAUAGGAUUUUAUGGUGGAGCGCAGAAGGUCCACAACUGGACAAGGUACGGGCCAUUUACCAGCGAUGCCCCAGCACCCAAGAGCAAGACUGAACUUCAAGGCCUUCUUGGGACUAUUGAACCUACCAUUCCUUCCCUUCCCCACAAAGGCGGCGGUAGGCAGGCCCCUACAGACUCCUGGACAAGCGGGCCCUUUGGGUGUGGGGCCAGCGCCCGGGAGGCCGCAUUCAGGCAGUCAGGAACCUUCGCGCCAAACUCGGUCUUAGCCGCCGACGAAGGCUGCCGGUGGUGCCCCAGCAUCGCGACGCCUCACCCUGGCAUUGGAGCUGUCCUGGGCUGCUCCCGGAUGGAAGGUACCGGUGGCGUAGCACCCCAGCCUCAACACAGCGGCGGAACUACUCGCAAAUCGAUAAGGAGGUCUGGCAAUGUCAAGGGUAAAAAAAUUCCAUGAUUUCUUAUGCAGGCGGCCCUUCACCGUGGUGACUGACCACAAGCCGUUGCUUGGCUUGUUUGCCCCAGCAGACCCCCAGUGCUGUCUCCCUCGCGUCCUCAGGUGGUCAAUUUUCACACUUCAGCUACCAGUAUGCACUGAUUCACCGACCUGGGAAGGCGAUGGGCCAUGCGGACGCCCUCAGCAGGCUACCACUACCGGAAACAGGCCCUGACCCAGCACCUGCACACGAGGUUAUGAGCCUGGAGCUGCUUCCCCGGCCGCCCCAUUCAGGCACAGAAGUUGCAGAUGUUCCAAGAAAGAUAGGGUCAUCUCCGGGUCCUGGACUGGGUGUGGAGGAUGGCCCAGCAGCAGCCCGGGCCAGAAUUCGCCGGCUACACAACCCGCAAACAUGAACUGUCGGCCCACAAGAAUUGCUGUUAUGGGAAGCAGAGUCGUUGACCACAGCCCUCCGCAAAAGGGUCCUCACAGCCCUACCGAGACACAUCCCAGGGUAGUAAGAUGAAAGGCCCUUGCCAGGGGUCCUGUGUGGUGGCCGGGGAUCGAUGGAGAUGAGGCCUGGUCAAACACUGCCAGGCCUGCCAAAACCCGCCCAGUCCCAAAGUUUGGUGUGAGUCCUGGGAGUCCGCCCGAGCACCAUGGUCACGCCUGCAUGUGGAUGGCCCCUUUCAGGGGAAAACAUUCUUCAUAGUGGUGGACUCCUACACCAAAUGGCUGGAAGUCGCACUGGUACCGUCCACUUCCACGUCCGCAGCCAUCCGGGUACUACGCAGGCUAUUUGCAACCCACGGGCUCCCUGACACUCUCGUCUCAGACAACGGGACUGCAUUUACGUCAGGAGAAUUCCAAACCUUCACAGCGCAGAACGCCAUCCGCCACAUCCGUUCGGCGCCGUUCCACCCUGCCACCAAUGGCCAAGCAGAACGCAUGGUGCGGACCACCAAGGACACCCUUCGCCGCAUGACGCAAGGGGACUGGGAGUACCGCCUUGCCACAUUCCUUCUAGCACAGCACAGCACCCCCAGCUCAACGACUGGCCGGAGCCCCGCUGAACUACUAAUGGGUCGGCGCCUUGCAAUCAGAUUGGACCGCCUUCACCCCGAUAGAGCUCAGGAUGAGGUAGUGGUGGGGAAGGCAGGAACCCCGGACCUUCGAGGCCCAGGACCCAGUGUACGCAAAGAAUUUUGGGGCAGGCCCAGCAUGGGUACCCGCCACAGUCACCAGGGUCACUGGCCCCGUGUCGUACGAGGGGCUCACGGAUGGGGGGCAAGGCUGGCGCCGCCACUGCAACCCCCGACGGCGACGAGUCCCGGGAGCAAACCAGGAGGAGGACAGGUCAGAGGAGUCCCAAGGGAACAGCGGGGCAGUGAGGCCCAUAGAGCAGGAGGGGCAAGCAGGAGAGGCAGAAUCAGUAAAUACAGAGAGGACCCGUGAGGCCGAAAGGACACCGGAACCAGAAGCACGACUGAGCGAGCCGGUUGCACCAGACCAAACAGCCCCAUCACAGCCAGCAUCCUUGGAACACGAGCCAGAACCUGGAGCCCGGACCAGGGAACACCCCAGGCCACAACGCACACGUAGGCCGCCGGCGUACCUUGAGGACUAUGAAUCGACCUCCCGGGCAGGACUGGAACUUAGAGGGGAGGGUGUUAUGUACUGAGUUGAAUAGGAUCCAAACUGCAGCAGUCUGAUUGGUCCUAGAACAAUAGGAUCCAAAAGGCAGCAGUCUGAUUGGUCCUAGAACAAUAGGAUUCAGAACGCAGCAGUCUGAUUGGUCCUAGAACAAUGCAGCAGUAUGAUUGGUUGGCAGGAACCACCCAAUCCUGCUCCAGAUAGAAGUGAAUCCACAACCUGAUUGGCUUACAGUAGAAUUCCAGAAUUAGCCAAUCAUGUGCAGCCCAUUGUGUAAAUAAUGUAUAUAAAGCAGAUACUGUGAGGGGACAUUCAUUCAUUCCUCCUCACCACUAUGAGCUGAAUAAAGAGCAUGAAAUCACUUUGCGACUCUGAGUAUAUUUCAGGAUGUUUAGAUGUGAAUGUAUGUGUAAUUGGCUUUAUACUUGUAAACCACUUGAAAGCUAUUUCCACAUUAAGCAGCAUACAAAUGUAAUAAUAAUAAUCUUAAAACUCUUCUUCAGAGAGAAAGAAAAGGUUGUAAGUCAGAGGUGGGAAUCCUGUGGCCCUUCAGAUGUUGUUAGACUCUAACUCCCAUUGGUUCCAGCCAGUAUGGGCAGUGGUGAUGAACGUUAUAGUCCAAAAACAUUUUGAGAGCCACAAGGUUUCUUAUCCCUGCUGUAAGUAGAUCUGUAUUCAACCUCCCUUUCCUCAUGAUUUCAUCAUUAUUUGGAAAUAAUGAACCAAAAACCUUUCAUGAAGCUUUUCCAGAUAAAAAAAUGUUACUUCAAAAGCAAAGGCAUAGGUACUGUUUUGCUCACUCUUCCAUGAGGUCACUCUUCUACGAGCAGCACAAUAAUCAGGUAGCUUUUGUAGUGCCAAUUUCCUUUGAAAGAGAGAGCCCAUGUUCUGUUUAAAAUCCUUGUAAUAAAAUCGUUUUGUUUAUAUCAGUUCAGAGGGGGAAAUGAUUAUAGCAGGCCACAAAACAACAUUCUUUGAGACCCUCAAGUCCAGCAAGUACAGAAAACAUAAGCCACUAACUGUAAGUAGCUCAGCCAGAAGCAAAGAAAUAGCAUGGUCAUGAUAGACUGGUAGGGGACUAGCAGAGUCUGAAUUCACAACUGAAUAAGUGUGUCCUGUUCCUGAACAAAAGCCUUGUGGUGAGCAGCCUAAUGAAUAAUCCUUAUUUACAGAGACAAAGGCAAAAAAGGAUGUACCACUUGAAAUAACAGCAUACGGUAUAUCCACAAACUAAAUAAAAUAUUAGAAUUGUCAGUUACAGUAACUUAAUAACAUAUUUACCCAUUUUGAGUGAGCAAAUGCUCUUACCAAUUUGUGUUUAAAACCACAGUGAUGUUGCUGGCAGAUGCAGUGAUGUAAAUACAAGGUGGUGGUAGACUGGAUUGUUUAAAAGAACAAAGUCUUCAUAUGUUGUAACGUCUUUUGACAACUCACUUCCAGCAGUUAUUCUUAGGCAACUUAAAUAAUAAUAAUAAUAAUUGGAAGAUUUUUCUUUUU